rnacentral:tRNA from 1 species
UCCUUGGCAGGCAAGUGGUGAAGACUCUAUGCUUUUAAUGUAGGGAGUUCAGGUUCUAAUCCUGGUUGGGGAG